AUGGCAAGUAACAGAGACGAUCCUCUCACAUUUAUAAACCCAUCGUCCUCUCCAAUCACAGUCUCUUCAGCAGAGGGAGAUAGCUUUCUCUUAGAACCCGCUUCCCAAAUCGGGAGCGCUUCUGGAAGCUUUCAGAACGAGGGUUUGCUCUCCGGCGGCGACGGCACCAGCGACGCUGAGUUCGGUUUCUCCCGCCCCGAUUUCCGCCAGAGUCCACUCGCCGGCACCGUCCAGUUGUACGACCGCCAUGUGUUCCUCUGCUACAAGCACCCUCAGGUCUGGCCUCCCAGGAUUGAGGCUGCAGAGUUCGAUCGCCUUCCGAGACUUCUCUCCGCUGCUCUCAUGGCCAGGAAGAGUGAGAUGAAGAAACAGACCCGCUUAACAAUAUGUGAAGGACAUGAUGGAACUGAGACAUCAAAUGGAGAUGUAUUAAUAUUUCCAGACAUGAUCAGAUACAGGAGAUUGACGCAUUUUGAUGUUGACACAUUUGUUGAAGAAGUGCUCGUGAAGGAUGGUGAGUGGCAGCCUGUAACUCCUGAAAAACUAAUUGGGUCAUGCAUUUUUGUUUGUUCUCAUGGGUCACGGGAUCGCCGUUGUGGUGUAUGUGGACCCGCUGUUGUUGCUAGGUUCAAAGAAGAGAUAGAAUCGCAUGGCCUUCAAGGUAAAGUGUCUGUGAGCCCAUGCUCACACAUUGGAGGCCAUAAAUAUGCAGGAAAUGUGAUCAUAUUUGGAUCAAAUAUUGAUGGAAAAGUCAGUGGGCACUGGUAUGGGUAUGUUACUCCAGAUGAUGUACCUAUUUUGCUUGAGCAGCAUAUUGAGAAGGGAGAAAUUGUCUAUGGACUGUGGAGGGGUCAGAUGGGUUUAUCCGAAGAAGAACAGACGAAAUCCCAAGAGCUAAGGGUCCAAUUAAAUGGUGGGACAGGUGAUGGAAAGCCCACAAAGGAGACUCUGCAAACACAAACAAAUGAAAUGGAUACUGCUGCAUGUGGAUCUCAAAUCGAGGUUAUGGCCUGCUGCCAAGAAAACGGAAACUCUUCCUGUUGCCAGAACCCUGUGUUGUCAGGAAAGAUGGAAAAACUAUUUGAGAGGGAGGCAAAAGUUACACCUGAAAAGAAGAAAAGUAGCAAAAUGACUAUUUCCAGGAGUAGUAGUAACAAAAGUGCUUGCACACGAAAAGUAUGUGCAAUGCCUACAUGGUUUGAGAGCUGGGAGCGUGAAGAUACAUAUGCUGCUCUUGCUGUUGUUUGUGCUGCAGUCUCAGUUGCCAUCGCCUGUCACUGCUACAAACAGUUGACGUAAAAACUUCCAGUUGUGAACUGCAUGUUGUUCUAAAGUCUUUGAAUCCUUCCCCAUUCUGUCGCCGCUGUGUAUUGGUUAUCCUCGUCACUGCAUGCCAUAAUGCAUCUUUGGAAAGAGGGUAGAUGGAUUCUAAGUGGGGAAGGAGAUUCGCAUUUGUAAUAUUCCCACUUUUGAAUCAAUGCAUGGAAGAUUACCUGCUUCUCAACUCAACAAAGCCUUUGGCCUAGCCAUGGCAGCUCCAUUACAUAUUCACUUACGCCCUUCCAACACACUGAUGUGCAAAUUGGGCUGCCUAUGAUUAUCUUUUGUUGUGAAGAGAUUUUAAAGAGCAGCAUGACAAGGCAAAAUUACAUAAGACAUCAAGUGCCAAUUCUGGGCCAACCCUCUGUUCCAUUUCUCCCAUUCCCUUUGCAGUUAAAUAUUCUAGGGGAAGGAGAGGGUGUUGGUAGAUGUAGGAGAAAGGACCCAUUUUGAGGCCAAAUGCCCUUUUCUUCAAUGAUAUAUUUUGGUUGGACAAUACUUCUUUUAGUUGAUUUAUACAUGUGGGCACAGAAGUUUUGGCUGUUUGAAA